AUGUGGCUUAAUUUGACUCAACGCGGGAAAUCUUACCGGGUCCGGACACACUGAGGAUUGACAGGCAAUAUAUGUGACUCUUCGGAGUUUGCAUUGUUAAAUAUGCUAGUCCUUUCAUGAUUAUGUGAUAGGUGGUGCAUGGCCGUUCUUAGUUCGUGGAGUGAUCUGUCUGCUUAAUUGCGUUUCAAAUUACUUAUAAGGUAGCAAUACGCGAUGAAGCUUUCAAUAGUCCUCACGGAUUCACUUGAGUCUCUCGCUUCGCUAUCCUUUCGAAUGCAACGAACGUGACCGCAACCUCUUGUUGCCUUCGUUUAACAUCCUGCAGCUCGCUGUGGGUACUGAGGGCUUCACUCGGUGACUUUGGGCUGAGCAAUCGGUCU
rnacentral:rRNA from 1 species